rnacentral:misc_RNA from 1 species
UUUCCGUUGGUGAACCAGCGGAAGGAUCAUUACAGAGAUCGUGCCCUUCGGGGUAGACCUCCCACCCUGUGUUAUUUACGUAUGUUGCUUUGGCGGGCCGCCUCCGGGCUCUCGGCUUCGGCCGAGGUGUGCCCGCCAGAGAACCCACAACCCUGUGUUUAGUGUCGUCUGAGUAUUAUCGAAUAAGUUAAAACUUUCAACAACGGAUCUCUUGGUUCUGACAUCGAUGAAGAACGCAGC